UUUGGAUGGACGCUCAGGACCACCCAAGUAGUUUGCCGCACCAGGCGGUUAGCAGGGACUAUUUGCAUUUCACUCAUUUCAUUGGAACGCAACCGAUGAAGCGCAAUCACAUUUAAUGCGAGGAGGAUAUACAUUUUCUUUACUGAAUAAAUCGCUAUACUUCGGUAUUUAUCUCCACAUAUUUGAGUCCAAAGCAGCUCGGAACAGUCACCACAAUUUCUUUUCAUUGUUUUAAAUUUAUGGGCCUAGCUAAUUCUUUAGCGGUUUUAUUCGUAUCAGUUGAGCGGUUAGUUAAAGAGAACUUCUGCGUUUAAGUAGCAUUUUGUCAGGACUUGUCCUGGAACUAAGCCAGCUGCCUUCCUUCGAGAUAAAUUAUGCCAGGUAGCUGGCGAACAAGCGGCUGGCGAAUAAGUAAACACGGGAUCAGUAGCUCCUUGUCAAUUCUAGCUUUGCUAUGAUCGAAAAAAAAGCAUAACGGAAUCUAAAGGCGCUCUAGCGACGGACCAUUUAGUGCCUGAUGCAUUGGCCGAGUGCCAUGGCUAACGCUCGGUUACUGCGUACAAGAUGUCGCCGGUUUAGUUGCGGGCUUCAGCGGUUGCAUUCCGACGGGGACGCAAUGCGAAAACACUUGUGUGCCGAGAUCUUGUGGACGAAACGUCACAUGCCUAUUAUGCAGAGAUUCUUUUUUCUAAUUGCACUUGCUGUUAACGAAAUGUCCUAACCCUCCCGCAUUGAACUGUUGAGGGUCGACGACCCAUCACGUUCGCCCAACAGUUCUGUCCACUUUGCUUGCAGCUGAAAACAGGGUGCAAACGCAAUAAAAGCGCGCAAGACAAGCUCCCCGUAUACCGUGACAUCCCAGACUUAUGUGCAGCGCUGUCUCAAGGACCGUUUACAACGUGAACGCUUUGCAGGGACGAGACCCUUCCAGCGAGCAGUACUGCGGCUACACACGUCGUCCAAGCACAAGACCGUAGUUCCUGACGAGGUUCGUAACCGACAUCAUCAAGCAGGAGUGGACCUUCGACAACGAGCUGGCUGCUAAUAAGGUCAGAGGAGGCCCAGCCUUUCCACCAGUCGAGCUUAAUCACGCCUCCUUCAAGCGACACAACAAGGGGUGAUGUCAACGCGUUCGUGGCUUCCAUGUUCCUCCAGUCACGCAACUCAUCUAGACGCUGGUCGGCGACCACUUCACGAAUGCCACGAAGGAGCAAUGCCCACCGAGGCCCAGAUCCACACCGAGGGAUAGAGCCGAUGUCCUUUACCAAGACACCACGGCCGAGGAACGCCGGGAAAUCUGUGGACAGCGCUCGGGGAGGAGACAGAAGGCAGGCAGCGUACAAGGUGCCAGUCGCCUCCCUGACAUGUGGUGACAUAAUCUUGAUUUUAAAGAAACAAAUAAACAGAAAACACCCACACAAA